rnacentral:rRNA from 1 species
AGCAGCCGCGGUAAUUCCAGCUCCAAUAGCGUAUAUUAAAGUUGUUGCAGUUAAAAAGCUCGUAGUUGAACUUCGGGAUCAAUGGAUCGGUCAUGCCAUCGGUAUGUACCGGUCUCAUUGGUUCUCACCUUCUAAGGAACCUUAAUGUCAUUCAUUUGAUGUUUUGGGGAAUUAGGACCGUUACCUUGAAAAAAUUAGAGUGUUUAAAGCAGGCUAACGCUUGAAUACAUUAGCAUGGAAUAAUGAAAUAGGACAUCGCAUUCUAUUUUGUUGGUUUCUAGGAUCGAUGUAAUGAUUAAUAGGGAUAGUUGGGGGCAUUAGUAUUCAAUUGUCAGAGGUGAAAUUCUUGGAUUUAUUGAAGACUAACUACUGCGAAAGCAUUUGCCAAGGAUGUUUUCAUUAAUCAAGAACGAAAGUUAGGGGAUCGAAGACGAUCAGAUACCGUCGUAGUCUUAACCAUAAACUAUGCCGACUAGGGAUCGGAUGAUGUUGAUUUUUUAAUGACUCAU